rnacentral:rRNA from 1 species
GAGUAAUGCUUGGGAAUAUGCCUUAUGGUGGGGGACAACAGUUGGAAACGACUGCUAAUACCGCAUGAUGUCUACGGACCAAAGUGGGGGACCUUCGGGCCUCACGCCAUAAGAUUAGCCCAAGUGGGAUUAGCUAGUUGGUGAGGUAAUGGCUCACCAAGGCGACGAUCCCUAGCUGGUUUGAGAGGAUGAUCAGCCACACUGGGACUGAGACACGGCCCAGACUCCUACGGGAGGCAGCAGUGGGGAAUAUUGCACAAUGGGCGCAAGCCUGAUGCAGCCAUGCCGCGUGUGUGAAGAAGGCCUUCGGGUUGUAAAGCACUUUCAGUAAGGAGGAAAGGUUAAGUGUUAAUAGCGCUUAGCUGUGACGUUACUUACAGAAGAAGCACCGGCUAACUCCGUGCCAGCAGCCGCGGUAAUACGGAGGGUGCGAGCGUUAAUCGGAAUUACUGGGCGUAAAGCGUACGCAGGCGGUUUGUUAAGCGAGAUGUGAAAGCCCCGGGCUCAACCUGGGAACUGCAUUUCGAACUGGCAAACUAGAGUGUGAUAGAGGGUGGUAGAAUUUCAGGUGUAGCGGUGAAAUGCGUAGAGAUCUGAAGGAAUACCGAUGGCGAAGGCAGCCACCUGGGUCAACACUGACGCUCAUGUACGAAAGCGUGGGGAGCAAACAGGGAUUAGAUACCCUGGUAGUCCACGCCGUAAACGAUGUCUACUAGAAGCUCGGGUCUUCGGACUUGUUUUUCAAAGCUAACGCAUU